rfam:Schistosoma curassoni strain Dakar, Senegal genome assembly, scaffold: SCTD_scaffold0012412
AUCCGGCUGACGAGUCCCAAACAGGACGAAAUGCGCUUUGUCCUAGAU